GCUCUGUUGUUAGGGAAGAACAAGUGCGAGAGUAACUGCUCGCACCAUGACGGUACCUAACCAGAAAGCCACGGCUAACUACGUGCCAGCAGCCGCGGUAAUACGUAGGUGGCAAGCGUUGUCCGGAAUUAUUGGGCGUAAAGGGCUCGCAGGCGGUUUCUUAAGUCUGAUGUGAAAGCCCCCGGCUCAACCGGGGAGGGUCAUUGGAAACUGGGAAACUUGAGUGCAGAAGAGGAGAGUGGAAUUCCACGUGUAGCGGUGAAAUGCGUAGAGAUGUGGAGGAACACCAGUGGCGAAGGCGACUCUCUGGUCUGUAACUGACGCUGAGGAG
rnacentral:rRNA from 2 species